rnacentral:lncRNA from 1 species
CAGGAAGCCAACCAGGAAGUGGGACUACGGCUGCUGCUGCAGCAGCAGCUCCACGUGGCUGAUUUAUAGCUGACGGGUUUUUUUUUUCUUAGUGAUUGUUCUUGGUUUUUCACACGGCUCCUUAAGGUGGUGGAUUUGUAACCGAAAGGCCCAGAUCAUUUGCUGUGGGGAAGCAAACCACCACAUAGAGGAUGAUCUAACAGCCUCUGGAGUCUCACUUGGUAAGGAACUGAGGACUCCAGCCUGAGGACUCAGGCAAGUAACUGAGGCCUGCCGACAACUAUGGAGCAAGCCUGGAAAUGGAUCCUUCCUCAGCCUUCAGAUGGGGCAGCAGCUGGAAUGACAGCCAAGCCAGCGCCACAUAGCUUAGCAACCCCCAGAGAACUAACUCUCGAUUGUUCAUGUUGGAAGUCAGACUUUCUGAACUCUUCUCAAGUGAUGAUAAAAUGGACUCGUUGAUAAAUCUUUCUGGUACAGAUUUUCAAAACUUCCAUCUAUCCACUGUGCUUUCAUGUUAAAGAAAGAAUGGAACAUCAUCUCUAAAACAAGAUAACUUCAGCUCUGGGGCUGAGGAGGCCAGCCUGCCACUGGGUAGUUUUGAUAUCAGGAUUUCAAAACCUUUCCCCUGUGGAGGAUGAGUUAUAUACCCACCCUGGGGCAUCAACAUGAAGGUGCUGAGCAGCUCGCCAUUGACAGAACGCUGCAGGUCCCACAGGCCACUCCUGCUAAAGUGUAGCUGAAGUUGUUCUCACAGAACUGCCAUCCACACAACCCACCCAGGGGGAGUGUGGUUCUACACUGACUCAGUGGUCAGAGUGGGGACAUUUUCUUAUUCCUCCAGAGACUGACAAGAGAUGGGAUCUGAAGGUAUCUUGAUCUCACAGCUGCAUCCUGAUACAUACAUUUUAUUACCAUGAUGGGAAUAAAUUACUCUGAGGCUCCCAAUAAUGGCUGUUUUGGUUUUGACAAACGAGGCUCUGAGGUUAAAUUCCAUAAACCUCUACUUCAAUCAAUGGAGAUCGCAAUGUUCAUGUAAAUUAUCUGCAUAAAUUCAGUGUCAAUUUAUUCAGAUAAGGACCAAUGUUAUUCUUAGAGAAAGAACUGGAAUUUAAACAGGUGAUUUUCAAGAGCUUUCUUUUUUACAAAUUGCCCACUCAUUACAGAAGGGUGCCAUGAGAAGAUCAGAUUGGGUGCGGUCAUGGCUCACUUCUGCUUCCAAUGACUCCGUUUUUCAUGGCUUCUCAGCCUUUGCAUGGGCCAGGAGGUUGAACUGAAAGCAGCUUUGCCACGUAAGUGAUGUUGGGACACAGGCAUUUUAGGAAGGGUGGAGGAUGCAACGACUACCGAGGUAAAUAAAUCCUCUUUCCUCAGAAUAUUGGUUAUGUGAAAAUUAUUGCUUUUCUCUUUUUUUAAGGUUUUUUUAAAAUUACUCUUGGAUUGAUUGCAUGAAUUUUGUUGUUGUUGUGUUUCUUUCUAUAAUUUUUGACCUCCAAAGCUCAAAGAGUCAAUCU